UCGGGAAUUUUGGGCAAUGGGCGAAAGCCUGACCCAGCAACGCCGCGUGAAGGAUGAAGUAUUUCGGUAUGUAAACUUCGAAAGAAUAGGAAGAAUAGAUGACGGUACUAUUUAUAAGGUCCGGCUAACUACGUGCCAGCAGCCGCGGUAAUACGUAGGGACCAAGCGUUGUUCGGAUUUACUGGGCGUAAAGGGCGCGUAGGCGGCAAUUCAAGUCAUCUGUGAAAUCUCCGGGCUUAACUCGGAACGGUCAGAUGAUACUGCUUUGCUAGAGUGCAGAAGGGGCAAUCGGAAUUCUUGGUGUAGCGGUGAAAUGCGUAGAUAUCAAGAGGAACACCUGAGGUGAAGAUGGGUUGCUGGGCUGACACUGACGCUGAGGCGCGAAAGCCAGGGGAGCAAACGGGAUUAGAUACCCACGUAGUCCCUGAGCGGGC
rnacentral:rRNA from 1 species